rnacentral:tRNA from 1 species
AGUUCAGCUGGUUAGAACGCUUGACUGUCACUCAAGAGGUCGCGAGUUCGAAUCUCGUC